UCAAAUCCAAUUAAUAAUUGAACUAGAGCAGUUCAAAAAUUACAAAGAUUGACAGAAAGGUGUUCUUCUUCUUCUUCUCCUCCUCCUCCUCUGCAAACACCUCUACAAGCCACAUCAUUCAACCAAUAUUGAUGAAAUUUUGUAUAUAAGUAUUUCUUGGAGUACUUGAGGUCCCCUGAAGAUUUCAGCUGAAUUGGGUCAAAAUGGAAAGGGGAGAAUGGAUGUCAGUUUUCUAUAUAUACCUCUAUAUAUCAUAUUGUUUAAUUACUUUUGACAACAAAUUUUGAAUAUAGGAAUAUCAUAGUGUAAUUAAUAUCACCUGAAAAUUCUAGUCCAACUGAGCUAAAAUUAAAAGGUGUAAAAGAAAACGAUUCUCUCUUCUAGAAAUGUGUUUAUGGUCACAUUGUUCAACUAAGUUUGAACAAAUUCAGAAUUUAAGUGUUACUUAUGUUAAUUAAGGCUUCCUAAAAAAUGCAGCCUAUUUGAGCCAAAAUGAAGGGUGCAAGAGGUCCUGUCAUUCUGAACUCUUCUACAUGUCAUAUCUCUCAACCAAUUUUGAUUAAAUUUGAUUUAUAUGUAUGUUUAUCAUCACUUAAAAAAUAAGUGAUAUCUUAUCAAAAAUAUCUAAUAUAUAAAAGAGUAUAGCACUAAGAAAUUAGGAUUUUGUUAUAAUUUAAAUGCUGCUACUUAGUUGACAUUUUAAGAAAAUAAAAUAAUAAUGCAG
rnacentral:lncRNA from 1 species